rnacentral:rRNA from 1 species
UGAGUAACACGUGGGUAACCUACCUAUAAGACUGGAAUAACUCCGGGAAACCGGGGCUAAUGCCGGAUAACAUUUAGAACCGCAUGGUUCUAAAGUGAAAGAUGGUUUUGCUAUCACUUAUAGAUGGACCCGCGCCGUAUUAGCUAGUUGGUAAGGUAACGGCUUACCAAGGCAACGAUACGUAGCCGACCUGAGAGGGUGAUCGGCCACACUGGAACUGAGACACGGUCCAGACUCCUACGGGAGGCAGCAGUAGGGAAUCUUCCGCAAUGGGCGAAAGCCUGACGGAGCAACGCCGCGUGAGUGAUGAAGGUCUUCGGAUCGUAAAACUCUGUUAUUAGGGAAGAACAAAUGUGUAAGUAACUGUGCACGUCUUGACGGUACCUAAUCAGAAAGCCACGGCUAACUACGUGCCAGCAGCCGCGGUAAUACGUAGGUGGCAAGCGUUAUCCGGAAUUAUUGGGCGUAAAGCGCGCGUAGGCGGUUUCUUAAGUCUGAUGUGAAAGCCCACGGCUCAACCGUGGAGGGUCAUUGGAAACUGGGAAACUUGAGUGCAGAAGAGGAAAGUGGAAUUCCAUGUGUAGCGGUGAAAUGCGCAGAGAUAUGGAGGAACACCAGUGGCGAAGGCGACUUUCUGGUCUGUAACUGACGCUGAUGUGC